AAAUAAAAUCUUUAUUUUGUUUCUUUUUUUUUUAAAACAUUAAAAAAGCCUUUUAGAAAAUCCAAAGUUUUUAAACCCUAGGGUUUCAGACUAAAAAUGUGCAGCCACCAGACCACCACCAUACGGUUACUGACAGCGCGCAGAUGAUGGCUGAUUCCGCCAACGGAGGAGAACUCCGACUAAGCCCACAGAGGUUUGGUAUGGCGAACAUGGCUUGGACAUGGUGCGUGGGUGCGUGGUGCGUGGUGGUGGAGAACGUGGGUAGUGGCGGUUGAAUGUUGGCACAUGGUGGCUGAAGGGAGGCAGCAAAUCUAGGAUUUCCCUCUUUGCUGAAAAAAUUUUGUGGGCUAGGAUUUUUUUUUUAAAUUUGGGCUUUGUUUUAUUGUAAUAGGUUAAUGGCUAUGUUUGGGUUCUAAUGGGCUGAAAUUGGAUAUUUGUUUUUUUGGUUUAUUUUGUUUGUUGGGUCCGGGCAAAAAUUAGACCCUACAAAUUUUAUAUAUUAUUUUAUCUUGAAUGGAUACUAAUUUUUUAAAUUCUUUUAUAUACUUUAGAUUGCUUUUAUAACA